rnacentral:tRNA from 2 species
UGGGGAUUGGUGUAAUGGCAACACGCUUGACUCUGGCUCAGGUACUCGGGGUUCGACUCCCUGAUCCCCAACCA